rnacentral:rRNA from 1 species
GACGAACGCUGGCGGCGUGCUUAACACAUGCAAGUCGAACGGAACUCUUUGGAUCAAGGCUUCGGCCAAGUGAAUUUGAGUUUAGUGGCGGACGGGUGAGUAACGCGUGAGGAACCUGCCUUUCAGAGGGGGACAACAGUUGGAAACGACUGCUAAUACCGCAUAACGCAUAGGAGUCGCAUGGCUCUUAUGCCAAAGAUUUAUCGCUGAAAGAUGGCCUCGCGUCUGAUUAGCUAGUUGGUGAGGUAACGGCCCACCAAGGCGACGAUCAGUAGCCGGACUGAGAGGUUGACCGGCCACAUUGGGACUGAGAUACGGCCCAGACUCCUACGGGAGGCAGCAGUGGGGAAUAUUGGGCAAUGGGCGCAAGCCUGACCCAGCAACGCCGCGUGAAGGAAGAAGGCUUCGGGUUGUAAACUCUUUAUGAGGGACGAAGGACGUGACGGUACCUCAUGAAUAAGCCACGGCUAACUACGUG